rnacentral:rRNA from 1 species
AGAAUCAACGCUGGCGGCGUGCCUAACACAUGCAAGUCGAACGAGAAAGUGGGAGCAAUCCCACGAGUAAAGUGGCGCACGGGUGAGUAACACGUGACUAACCUACCCUUGAGUGGGGGAUAACCUAGGGAAACCUGGGCUAAUACCGCAUAAUACCUACGGGUCAAAGGAGCAAUUCGCUUUAGGAGGGGGUCGCGGCAGAUUAGUUAGUUGGCGGGGUAAUGGCCCACCAAGACAGUGAUCUGUAUCCGGCCUGAGAGGGGCGCGACGGACGACGACUGGAACUGAAACACGGUCCAGACUCCUACGGGAGGCAGCAGUGGGGAAUUUUGCGCAAUGGGGGAAACCCUGACGCAGCAACGCCGCGUGGAGGAUGAAGCCCCUUGGGGCGUAAACUCCUUUCGAUCGGGAAGAUAAUGACGGUACCGGAAGAAGAAGCCCCGGCUAACUUCGUGCCAGCAGCCGC